AGUGAACGCUGGCGGUAGGCCUAACACAUGCAAGUCGAACGGCAGCACAGUAAGAGCUUGCUCUUACGGGUGGCGAGUGGCGGACAGGUGAGGAAUACAUCGGAAUCUACUUUUUCGUGGGGGAUAACGUAGGGAAACUUACGCUAAUACCGCAUACGACCUACGGGUGAAAGCAGGGGAUCUUCGGACCUUGCGCGAUUGAAUGAGCCGAUGUCGGAUUAGCUAGUUGGCGGGGUAAAGGCCCACCAAGGCGACGAUCCGUAGCUGGUCUGGGAGGAUGAUCAGCCACACUGGAACUGAGACACGGUCCAGACUCCUACGGGAGGCAGCAGUGGGGAAUAUUGGACAAUGGGCGCAAGCCUGAUCCAGCCAUACCGCGUGGGUGAAGAAGGCCUUCGGGUUGUAAAGCCCUUUUGUUGGGAAAGAAAAGCAGCAGGUUAAUACCCCGCUGUUCUGACGGUACCCAAAGAAUAAGCACCGGCUAACUUCGUG
rnacentral:rRNA from 1 species